rnacentral:lncRNA from 1 species
AAUUUUAUACCUUCUGUUUUAAAAUUAAUGAAAAUUUAAAUAAUUUUUAAUAAAAAUAAAAGUUUAGUGUAAUAAGUAAAAUAUUAAUAAUUUUGAAAUAAAAUGGGUGUAAUAUUUUACUUACCACAUUAAUAAUAAAAAGAAAAAAAAGAGAAAAGUACUUUUUUUCGCUCCUGGGUAGAGAUGCCAACGAAUCGGAUCCGGGACGGAUUUUCAAAAAUCCGAAUCCGAACCCGACUCCAAAC